CUGAUUGACAGGAUUCUGCUCUGUCUUCAAAAUCAAACAUCUGUGAAAUCAAAGGGGCAUAUUCUAUUUCUGAAGCCUCUGAUUCAGGUGAUAAUGACCUGUAAGCAUUAAACUUAGGAUAUGUCUCCAGCAAAACCUGUCUGAAGUCAGGAACAGGGGAAUCAGGAGAAAGUCUUCUGUAUUUACUCACAGAUGCUAAGGACUCAAGAGAUGAAGGUCGGUCUUCUA